CCAGAUAAACAGGCCUCGAUCCUGUAAAAACUUAGUUAACAGCUAAGCACCCAAUCCAGCGGGCUUUUAUCCGGGCUUCAAAAAAAA
rnacentral:tRNA from 1 species